UGGGGAAUUUUACACAAUGGGCGAAAGCCUGAUGUAGCGACACCGCGUGAGCGAAGAAGCCUUUUGGGGUGUAAAGCUCUGUCAGCAGGGACGAAAAAAAUGACGGUACCUGCAGAGGAAGCAUCGGCUAACUACGUGCCAGCAGCCGCGGUAAGACGUAGGAUGCAAGCGUUGUCCGGAUUUAUUGGGCGUAAAGAGUUCGUAGGUGGUUUGUUAAGUCUGAUGUUAAAGACUGGGGCUCAACCCCGGGACUGCAUUGGAUACUGGCAGACUUGAGUGCAGUAGAGGCAAGCGGAAUUCCAGGUGUAGCGGUGAAAUGCGUAGAUAUCUGGAAGAACACCGGUGGCGCAAGCGGCUUGCUGGGCUGUAACUGACACUGAGGAACGAAAGCUAGGGGAGCGAAUGGG
rnacentral:rRNA from 1 species